UGACAGAGGUUGCGUAUUUCAUCAGUAGUCUGCCGGAUGUGGCCCGCACAGAGGAAAGCAGGAGAAAGGGAAAGACGCCGAAAGUGAAGGAAUGGGUUUCCGGAUCUUGGGCAUGCAGUGAAAAACUGUAUGACUGUCAUCGUUGAUACGAUGGAGCGCUG
rnacentral:ncRNA from 1 species